rnacentral:rRNA from 1 species
AUUAGAGUUUGAUCCUGGCUCAGGAUGAACGCUAGCUACAGGCUUAACACAUGCAAGUCGAGGGGCAGCAUAACGAAAGCUUGCUUUUGUUGAUGGCGACCGGCGCACGGGUGAGUAACGCGUAUCCAACCUUCCCUAUAGUAGAGGAUAGCCCGGCGAAAGUCGGAUUAAUACUCUAUGUUGUAUUUAGAGGACAUCUGAAGAAUACCAAAGGUUUACCGCUAUAGGAUGGGGAUGCGUCUGAUUAGCUUGUUGGCGGGGUAACGGCCCACCAAGGCGACGAUCAGUAGGGGUUCUGAGAGGAAGGUCCCCCACAUUGGAACUGAGCCAUGAUCAAACUC